rnacentral:lncRNA from 1 species
GAGAUAGGCAGAAGGAACUUGUUGCCCCUGGUUGGUGUUGUGUAAGACUUGGCUGGCUGUAGCAGAAUAACACCCUUAUUCUCUCAGUGCUUUGAACUCUGGUACCCUACAGCUCCGACCACCCCUCUCUGCAACAGCAAGAACUCGCACUAAGAUGCCCCUCUCUCACUCUCGCUCUCUCUCUCUCUCUGUUUAUUUCUCUCUCCCCUUUCCUGCUGUGUCGCACUUCUCUCUCUUCCCAUAAGUCGUACCUCUCUGCUCCCAUCUCAUUUGUCUUUCACUUUCUCCCACAUGUGCUUGUCUGCUUCAGAUGUGCUGUUGUACCUUUUUGCAUUUGAAGAAAGUUUAUGAUGUUUUUUUCUGUCCUGUUGGACUGAGAACAGGCGUGUACGGCUUCUUCAGCUGAGGGCAUUUCAAGACAAUGAGACAUCUGAACGUGAAGCUGAAAAGAACACCAGCUCAGAGUCUCCCACGAUGCAUAUCUCCCUAUAUGUGGCUGGUGACACAUCAUUCCUGUAUUUGUGAUUUGAAUGGAUUGCAGAGAAGCAGUGAGUAUG